AAAAGCAGGAAGGGAGGAUGGAACUGAUUCCUCCUUUGACUCCCAUCACCCUUAAAGUGCAAAUGCCGGAGAGUUCUAUUUAAGGCCAAGAGAGCUUCACCUUAGCUAUAGUCCCAGCCCACCCCUGGCAUCCUCACCCUGUAGUUAAAGUGAAAGCUCCAGUCCCAAAAGGGCCCCGGUCUAGCUCCCUGCAGCCUUUGCCCGUGCAGUUUCUCCUCCCUAGAAUAUUAUUCUUUCUCCUUCUUUGCCUGGAAAAAUCUGUCUUAUUAAUUCCGCUUAGAUAUUCUUAGCUAGUACCUCUGAGAAAUCUUUGCCAGCAAUCUAGUUCUGGGAUUGAUGCCCUUCUCUAAAUUCCCAUGGACCCCUAUACACCACCCUCUUGUGAUGAGAGCACUGAUGACAUUUCCUUUGAAAUUGUCCCAUUACACGUCUGUCUCCCUGACUACACUCUAAGCAUCUGCAGAACAGGAACUGUGUCUUGCUGCCCAGGUAGUCCCUUCACAGUUCCUAACACAGAGCAGUAUGUCCGCUAUCCAUUGCUGUCUAGUAAAUCAACCCAAAGCACACCUUAUAACCCUACUUAUUUGCUCGUGAUCCUGUGGGUUGGCCUUUUGGGCAAAGCUCACCUAGGAUGACCAGCCCCAGCUUGAUGUGGUACGCGUUGGGUUCAAACAAACGUCUGUGGUCAGGGAGCGUGUCGAUUGCGGGGCUGGCUGAUUGUGGAUGGCUUUGUGCAUGUAUCUCGCUGUUGGCUGGGGUGCCUCAGUUCACUUCACGUGGCCUUUCCCCAUAGCUAGCCCAGGCUUUCUCAUUAGGCCUCAUGAGAUCAAAGGGGGAGCAUGGAAACUGCAAGACCUUUUGUGGACUUGCUAGGAAGUCACACAGUGUCGCCUCCACAGCAUUUUGUUGGCCAAAGCAAGUCACAAAGCUAGCCCAGAAUCAAGAGGCUGGGAAACAGACUUCCUUUUGAUGGGAGGAGCUGCAAAGAAUCUGGCCAUUUUUAAACCCACUAAGACUAGGUACUCACUAUUUUUUUGAAUAAAGGACCAAAAACUUACCUAGUUACUGAAAGGCUUCAGCUAUCCAGAUGUAAAUUACUGACCAACCACUGCGUAGAAGUACAACAGUUGUGAGUAAAGCCCCACGCCUAAUGAAAACUAGAGUCAGAAAAAUCCUGAAAUAAUAGUGCUGCAUGGAGCCACAGAGAGCAUGGUUUCUAUUCUUUGCAUUUUGCUGAGGUGUGGAGUGGUCAGGUGGCUUGCCCAUACUCAUGAGGCUUGUUGGGGCCAGAGCCUGGGCCAAACACCAGCCUCCCGCCCUCCAAUCCUAUGUCCUUAUAUAGCCUCCUGCAGGGGAGGGUGAUGCCGUGAAGACAGGCCUUUGGCUUUGGGUUAUUCAUAAAAUGCAGCUGUGCCAUGUACCUGUGCAGGUGAAGGAUACAUACUUUAAUUAACUCAGGCCUUGAGUUGUUAAAUCCUAUCAUUAAAAAAUAAAUAUUUUAUGUGAUAUUUUGACAGUUGAAUGGCUUUAAAAUUUAGAAACUCCAUUCCUAAAUGUAACACCAAGAAUGAUUCUAAAUUAACAGUAAGCAGUAUUUCUAAGAGCUUUUAUUUCCUAUGUAUGUGUGUGUCUGUGUGUAUUGAUGUACUGUGUGUGAGAGUUCACUCAUGGAGAAUCCCUGAAAUGGCUUACUUUGUUCCUAGAGAAAACACUUUUGGGUUUUCAGGUGUUUGUGUAAUGUGUCUGUGUUUUUGUGAUAGAGACAGAAAUCAUUUUUCGUUAAUUCUUUAGCAUAGGAUUUGAAAGCCAUGUUGGUUAAUUCUGCUGUAGAGAGAAAAAUGCAGCUGCCUUUUGGGUUGGUUCUGUUAUCUGAUGUGUUCUUAUUAAUAUCUGAUAAAUAAUUGUAUAAAUUGAUACAUUUCUAGUUGAGAAAUGGUGGGUAACAUGAAGAAGAUAUCCAUGUUUGAGUAGAUUAGAUACUGUCAGCUUCACACUACCUUAUAAAAGGUGAAUGCAUUGGAGUGGUAGCAAUUAAUAAUUUAAAAAUCAUUGCUUUCGGGCCAGAAUUGAGUCUCACGUUUCCAAAUACUCAUUACUUUCAAAUAUGUUGUGAAAAUAAUCUGCUUUUAAGAUCGACUUGAAUGAUGUUGACUAUUCUCUCCCAUUGAAUAUUAAUCCUGUUUCAUUUUGGUCAUACAUGAUCAGAAUAACUCUAGAACAUUUCAGUUUUGCAAAUUGGUUGGAGUCUAUUGGUGUCAUUGACCAUGGUUUUACUCAUUUAAGGCAGAAUUUCAGGUAUAAUAUGUUUGUCCUCAGUUCAAUACCAAAAGGACAAAUCUGCAGUGUACCAAAAGGAAGUUCAUCAUCAAAGUUAGCAUAUGGUAUUGUCAAAUGCAUUAAUAUAUGUACUUAAUAUAUAUGUUUAUUUUAAAAUUAGGUUGAAAUUUAUUUUCUCCAUUUCUUAAAAAUUAUAGCAAAAUACUUAAAAUUAUAAUAUGAAAAUAGACACUAUAGCAUGAAAUAAAUGUUAAAUUUUUAAAACAAUGACUUUAGGGUUCCAGCUUUUUCUGUCUUUUAGAACAAAUUAGCCAUUUUUUUAAUCCUAAGAAAGGGUUGCAUUGUAAAGCUGAUCUACUACUAACCCAUCAGAGAAAACACAUGGGACUCAUAUCUAAUUCUCUAAUGUAGCCAAAAGUGCCAUUUGUAAAACUACUUAAUGAUGGAUGUUUUCUGAAGCUCUUUUGCCUGGAAAAAAAAAAAGUGCAUUAAAAAGCUUUUUCUGUAGUGUAUUUGAUUUGGAAUCAUUUCCUCACUACACAGUUACUGAUGUGUGUUAUGGAAUAGUCUAUAUGGAAAUAUGCUAUGUCGUUGUUUACUAUUUUGAGAGAAUGCUAUUUUUUUGCUUUUUGGUUUUUUUUUCAACUAAUUAGGAAAUCAGUUACACAAUUCAGUAUGUGUAGGGUAGAGGUAUGGAGAUGAGUGGUUAUUCAGACUACGCGCAAUAUUAACCAAAAGGACUUUACAUUUUUCUCUCAUUUAUUCACUUGCUCUUUCAUUCAUUCAAGAAACCUCACUGAGGACCUGUGUUUUGCUGGACAGUAUAUAUAGGCCCUGGAAGUAUAAAACUGAGUAGACUGGACCCUGGAUUCAGCUCAUCCUUCAAGAGUCACUUCUAGGCCUGUCUCCUAGAAGACUUCUCUCCAUGGAGAGGAUGUCUUUGAAACUUUUUACCCUACAACAACUCUAUGAUUUUGAUGAGACAAGGAUUACUGGAAGCCAUGUAACAUCUUCAAAAACACCCAACAAAGAAUUUAUUAAGCACCUACUAUGGGCCUGUAACUAAAUCUUUCCCAAACAGCAGUAAAUAAGAAAGGUCCCAGUC